GGGUUGUGAGGUUAAGCGACUAAGCGUACACGGUGGAUGCCCUGGCAGUCAGAGGCGAUGAAGGGCGUGCUAAUCUGCGAUAAGCGCCGGUAAGGUGAUAUGAACCGUUAUAACCGGCGAUACCCGAAUGGGGAAACCCAGUGUGAUUCGUCACACUAUCAUUAACUGAAUCCAUAGGUUAAUGAGGCGAACCGGGGGAACUGAAACAUCUAAGUACCCCGAGGAAAAGAAAUCAACCGAGAUUCCCCCAGUAGCGGCGAGCGAACGGGGAGGAGCCCAGAGCCUGAAUCAGCAUGUGUGUUAGUGGAAGCGUCUGGAAAGGCGCGCGAUACAGGGUGACAGCCCCGUACACAAAAGCGCAUGUGCUGUGAGCUCGAUGAGUAGGGCGGGACACGUGGUAUCCUGUCUGAAUAUGGGGGGACCAUCCUCCAAGGCUAAAUACUCCUGACUGACCGAUAGUGAACCAGUACCGUGAGGGAAAGGCGAAAAGAACCCCGGCGAGGGGAGUGAAAAAGAACCUGAAACCGUGUACGUACAAGCAGUGGGAGCACCCUUCGGGGUGUGACUGCGUACCUUUUGUAUAAUGGGUCAGCGACUUAUAUUCUGUAGCAAGGUUAACCGUAUAGGGGAGCCGGAGGGAAACCGAGUCUUAACCGGGCGUUAAGUUGCAGGGUAUAGACCCGAAACCCGGUGAUCUAGCCAUGGGCAGGUUGAAGGUUGGGUAACACUAACUGGAGGACCGAACCGACUAAUGUUGAAAAAUUAGCGGAUGACCUGUGGCUGGGGGUGAAAGGCCAAUCAAACCGGGAGAUAGCUGGUUCUCCCCGAAAGCUAUUUAGGUAGCGCCUCGUGAAUUCAUCUCCGGGGGUAGAGCACUGUUUCGGCUAGGGGGCCAUCCCGGCUUACCAACCCGAUGCAAACUGCGAAUACCGGAGAAUGUUAUCACGGGAGACACACGGCGGGUGCUAACGUCCGUCGUGAAGAGGGAAACAACCCAGACCGCCAGCUAAGGUCCCAAAGUCAUGGUUAAGUGGGAAACGAUGUGGGAAGGCCCAGACAGCCAGGAUGUUGGCUUAGAAGCAGCCAUCAUUUAAAGAAAGCGUAAUAGCUCACUGGUCGAGUCGGCCUGCGCGGAAGAUGUAACGGGGCUAAACCAUGCACCGAAGCUGCGGCAGCGAACGUAUCACCCAAGACAACUUUACGGAGUUGACGAUUGACGGAGCGAAGCGACGUCAAAGCGUUCAUUAAAGUCGAGUUGGCUUAGGGAUACGUUCGUUGGGUAGGGGAGCGUUCUGUAAGCCUGUGAAGGUGUGUCGUGAGGCAUGCUGGAGGUAUCAGAAGUGCGAAUGCUGACAUAAGUAACGAUAAAGCGGGUGAAAAGCCCGCUCGCCGGAAGACCAAGGGUUCCUGUCCAACGUUAAUCGGGGCAGGGUGAGUCGACCCCUAAGGCGAGGCCGAAAGGCGUAGUCGAUGGGAAACGGGUUAAUAUUCCCGUACUUGGUGUUACUGCGAAGGGGGGACGGAGAAGGCUAUGUUGGCCGGGCGACGGUUGUCCCGGUUUAAGCGUGUAGGUGUGUGUUCCAGGUAAAUCCGGUUCACUUUAACACUGAGGCGUGACGACGAGGCACUACGGUGCUGAAGCAACAAAUGCCCUGCUUCCAGGAAAAGCCUCUAAGCAUCAGGUAACACGAAAUCGUACCCCAAACCGACACAGGUGGUCAGGUAGAGAAUACCAAGGCGCUUGAGAGAACUCGGGUGAAGGAACUAGGCAAAAUGGUGCCGUAACUUCGGGAGAAGGCACGCUGACACGUAGGUGAAGUGAUUUACUCAUGGAGCUGAAGUCAGUCGAAGAUACCAGCUGGCUGCAACUGUUUAUUAAAAACACAGCACUGUGCAAACACGAAAGUGGACGUAUACGGUGUGACGCCUGCCCGGUGCCGGAAGGUUAAUUGAUGGGGUCAGCGUAAGCGAAGCUCCUGAUCGAAGCCCCGGUAAACGGCGGCCGUAACUAUAACGGUCCUAAGGUAGCGAAAUUCCUUGUCGGGUAAGUUCCGACCUGCACGAAUGGCGUAAUGAUGGCCAGGCUGUCUCCACCCGAGACUCAGUGAAAUUGAACUCGCUGUGAAGAUGCAGUGUACCCGCGGCAAGACGGAAAGACCCCGUGAACCUUUACUAUAGCUUGACACUGAACAUUGAGCCUUGAUGUGUAGGAUAGGUGGGAGGCUUUGAAGUGUGGACGCCAGUCUGCAUGGAGCCGACCUUGAAAUACCACCCUUUAAUGUUUGAUGUUCUAACGUGGACCCGUAAUCCGGGUUGCGGACAGUGUCUGGUGGGUAGUUUGACUGGGGCGGUCUCCUCCUAAAGAGUAACGGAGGAGCACGAAGGUUGGCUAAUCCUGGUCGGACAUCAGGAGGUUAGUGCAAUGGCAUAAGCCAGCUUGACUGCGAGCGUGACGGCGCGAGCAGGUGCGAAAGCAGGUCAUAGUGAUCCGGUGGUUCUGAAUGGAAGGGCCAUCGCUCAACGGAUAAAAGGUACUCCGGGGAUAACAGGCUGAUACCGCCCAAGAGUUCAUAUCGACGGCGGUGUUUGGCACCUCGAUGUCGGCUCAUCACAUCCUGGGGCUGAAGUAGGUCCCAAGGGUAUGGCUGUUCGCCAUUUAAAGUGGUACGCGAGCUGGGUUUAGAACGUCGUGAGACAGUUCGGUCCCUAUCUGCCGUGGGCGCUGGAGAACUGAGGGGGGCUGCUCCUAGUACGAGAGGACCGGAGUGGACGCAUCACUGGUGUUCGGGUUGUCAUGCCAAUGGCACUGCCCGGUAGCUAAAUGCGGAAGAGAUAAGUGCUGAAAGCAUCUAAGCACGAAACUUGCCCCGAGAUGAGUUCUCCCUGAGACUUAGAGUCUCCUGAAGGAACGUUGAAAACGACGACGUUGAUAGGCCGGGUGUGUAAGCGCAGCGAUGCGUUGAGCUAACCGGUACUAAUGAACCGUGAGGCUUAACCUUACAACGCCGAAG
rnacentral:rRNA from 1 species